GCCAGCCCGGACAGCUUGAUGACGUCACUGCGUUCGGACGCGCCCCGCCCCUUGAGCAGUCCUCGCUGCCCCGCGCCGCCCAGCUCGCCGCCAGGGGACGCUAGUGGGUCGAAUCGCCUAGGCAACCACUUGCUCCUCCCCCUUCGCCCCUUUAACCUUUAGGGUGAGCGAGUGCAGAGUCCCUCACGCUUUCUCCCCUUUCCCCCUCCCAGUCCCCACCCCUGACGUUCAGUUCGGUCUGGACCGGAAGCGAAGAUGGCGGCUGCUGGCGCGGCCUCGGCAGAGCUGGUGAUCGGCUGGUGCAUUUUCGGCCUCUUACUACUGGCUAUUUUGGCAUUCUGCUGGAUAUAUGUUCGUAAAUACCAAAGUCAGCGGGAAAGUGAAGUUGUCUCCACCAUAACAGCAAUUUUUUCUUUAGCAAUUGCACUUAUCACAUCAGCACUUCUACCAGUGGAUAUAUUUUUGGUUUCUUACAUGAAAAAUCAAAAUGGUACAUUUAAGGACUGGGCUAAUGCUAAUGUCAGCAGACAGAUUGAGGACACUGUAUUAUAUGGAUACUAUACUUUGUAUUCUGUAAUAUUGUUCUGUGUGUUCUUCUGGAUUCCUUUUGUCUACUUCUAUUAUGAAGAAAAGGAUGAUGAUGAUACUAGCAAAUGUACUCAAAUUAAAACAGCACUCAAGUAUACUUUGGGAUUUGCUGUGAUUUGUGCACUGCUUCUUUUAGUUGGUGCCUUUGUUCCAUUGAAUGUUCCUAAUAACAAAAAUUCCACAGAGUGGGAAAAAGUGAAGUUCCUGUUUGAAGAACUUGGAAGUAGUCAUGGUUUAGCUGCAUUGUCAUUUUCUAUUAGUUCUCUCACCUUGAUCGGAAUGUUGGCAGCUAUAACUUACACAGCCUAUGGCAUGUCUGCGUUGCCUUUAAAUCUGAUAAAAGGCACUAGAAGCGCUGCUUAUGAACGUUUAGAAAACACUGAGGACAUUGAAGAAGUAGAACAACACAUCCAAACGAUUAAAUCAAAAAGCAAAGAUGGUCGACCUUUGCCAGCAAGGGAUAAACGUGCCUUAAAACAAUUUGAAGAAAGGUUACGAACACUUAAGAAGAGAGAGAGGCAUUUAGAAUUCAUUGAAAACAGCUGGUGGACAAAAUUUUGUGGCGCUCUGCGUCCUCUGAAGAUCAUCUGGGGAAUAUUUUUCAUCUUAGUUGCAUUGCUGUUUGUAAUUUCUCUCUUCUUGUCAAAUUUAGAUAAAGCUCUUCAUUCAGCUGGAAUAGAUUCUGGUUUCAUAAUUUUUGGAGCUAACCUGAGUAAUCCACUGAAUAUGCUUUUGCCUUUGUUACAAACAGUUUUCCCUCUUGAUUAUAUUCUUAUAACAAUUAUUAUUAUGUACUUUAUUUUUACUUCAAUGGCAGGAAUUCGAAAUAUUGGCAUAUGGUUCUUUUGGAUUAGAUUAUAUAAAAUCAGAAGAGGUAGAACCAGGCCCCAAGCACUCCUGUUUCUCUGCAUGAUACUUCUGCUUAUUGUCCUUCACACUAGCUACAUGAUUUAUAGUCUUGCUCCCCAAUAUGUUAUGUAUGGAAGCCAAAAUUACUUAAUAGAGACUAAUGUAACUUCUGAUAACCGUAAAGGCAAUUCAACUCUUUUUGUGCCAAAGAGAUGUGAUGCAGAUGCUCCUGAAGAUCAGUGUACUGUUACCCGGACAUACCUAUUCCUUCACAAGUUCUGGUUCUUCAGUGCUGCUUACUAUUUUGGUAACUGGGCAUUUCUUGGGGUAUUCUUGAUUGGAUUAGUUGUAUCCUGUUGUAAAGGGAAGAAAUCAGUUAUUGAAGGAGUAGAUGAAGAUUCAGACAUAAGUGAUGAUGAGCCCUCUGUCUAUUCUGUUUGACAGACUUCUGUCUUAAAGUCAUAUGGAAUGCCUUUAUUAACUUUGUAUUUUCAUGAAGCUGAUUUGUGUUACGAAUUCCACUAAUGAAGAACGUAUUUCCUUUGAAGUCCUUCUGAAAAAUGCCUAAAUCAGAGAUUAUCUAGAGUGACAACUUUCUAAAAGGCCAAGGCUGUCAUGUUCCAUGUGAACUUCAAACAAGUGAUUAUUCAUCCAUGUAACAAGGCACUGGCUAGUGGCUACUGAGUUUCUACAAUUAAAGAAGACAGGACCCAUCAUUUUAGAACUUGAUCUAGGAAUGUGUAGCUGAAUGGCCUUUGGCAAUAACUGGACAUGGUUUACAAAAAGGAGGUGAGCCAGGUGGUUCCUGGAAAGAAAAGAACAAGGAAAU